UCGAGUCAGCCAUGCCACGAUCGAACCUUAAAGUAAGGUCACAUUGAGCAAAUAUUUGACACAAAUAUGUUUUAUCAUAUUUUCCCAAAAAAAUGUUGUUUUCAUACAGAGUUGAUUUUGUGUUCACAUUGCUCACAUUUAUUUGACAAAUUUUGUUUGUUCAAACACCCAUCAAAUAGUGGCAAAUAAAGCAAUGACAAAACAGGUUUGACGUGCGGUCACAUUUGAAAAAUAUAUUUGAUUAAAAAGCAGUUUGAUCAAACUAUCAAAAAACAAAAAAUUGUUUGGUCGAAAUAUUUAAAAGAAGCUAUGCAGCAAGAAUAGGCGCUUUUUAUUUUAUGUUGUGGUGCAGCAUCAUAUAUUGCUGUCAAAGAGGACGAAUCCAUGAAAAAUAGAAAAAAAAAGACCAUGGGUUCGAGAAUGGUUGCGUCAAAGAAAGGAGGAAGGAUGUUGCGUCAAAUUGCUGACUCAACUGCGGGCUGAAACACCAUCGCUCUAUAAAAAUUUCUUGAGGAUGAACGCGGCAGAUUUUGACAAUUUGCUUAAAUUAACUGCACCACUUUUAACCAAGAAGACGACACAAUUACGUGAGCCGAUUUCAGCUUCAGAACGGUUAAUGGUUACACUGCGAUACUUGGCAACAGGCGAGAGUUUCUGUUCUCUGCAAUUCAUAUUCCGUAUACCUCACAACACUAUUUCAACUAUCCUUCCAGAGGUUUGCGAUGCUAUUUAUAAGGUUCUACAGCCUGAUUAUUUAAAGACCCCAUCAACGGAAACAGAAUGGCUAGCAGUAUCGGAAAAAUUUUAUGAGAAGUGGACGGCAAACAUGUCGUUAUGACAGCGCCUUCUCAUUCCGGAAGCAUUUACUUCAACUAUAAAGG